rnacentral:rRNA from 1 species
UGCAGUCGAACGAGACCUUCGGGUCUAGUGGCGCACGGGUGCGUAACGCGUGGGAAUCUGCCCUUGGGUUCGGAAUAACAGCUAGAAAUGGCUGCUAAUACCGGAUGAUGACGUAAGUCCAAAGAUUUAUCGCCCAAGGAUGAGCCCGCGUAGGAUUAGCUAGUUGGUGAGGUAAAGGCUCACCAAGGCGACGAUCCUUAGCUGGUCUGAGAGGAUGAUCAGCCACACUGGGACUGAGACACGGCCCAGACUCCUACGGGAGGCAGCAGUGGGGAAUAUUGGACAAUGGGCGAAAGCCUGAUCCAGCAAUGCCGCGUGAGUGAUGAAGGCCUUAGGGUUGUAAAGCUCUUUUACCCGGGAUGAUAAUGACAGUACCGGGAGAAUAAGCUCCGGCUAACUCCGUGCCAGCAGCCGCGGUAAUACGGAGGGAGCUAGCGUUAUUCGGAAUUACUGGGCGUAAAGCGCACGUAGGCGGCUUUGUAAGUUAGAGGUGAAAGCCUGGAGCUCAACUCCAGAAUUGCCUUUAAGACUGCAUCGCUUGAAUCCAGGAGAGGUGAGUGGAAUUCCGAGUGUAGAGGUGAAAUUCGUAGAUAUUCGGAAGAACACCAGUGGCGAAGGCGGCUCACUGGACUGGUAUUGACGCUGAGGUGCGAAAGCGUGGGGGAGCAAACAGGAUUAGAUACCCUGGUAGUCCACGCCGUAAACGAUGAUAACUAGCUGUCGGGGCUCUUAGAGUUUCGGUGGCGCAGCUAACGCAUUAAGUUAUCCGCCUGGGGAGUACGGCCGCAAGUUA